rnacentral:rRNA from 1 species
UACGGAGGGGGGCUAGCGUUGUCCGAAGUUACUGGGCGUAAAGCGCGCGUAGGCGGGUUGGUAAGUCCGCUGUGAAAGCCCGGAGCUCAACUCCGGAGGGUCGGUGGAUACUGCCAGUCUUGAAGGUGCUAGGGGGGAGAUGGAAUUACCGGUGUAGCGGUGAAAUGCGUAGAUAUCGGUAGGAACACCAGUGGCGAAGGCGGUCUCCUGGGGCAUUCUUGACGCUGAGGCGCGAAAGCUGGGGGGAGCGAACGGG